AAGACUAUAGACCUGCGGAGUACCUGCGGAGGGAUCAUUAGUGAACGCCCUCACGGGCUUAUAACUAUUCCAAACCUCUGUGAACCGCGCCCUUCGGGGCUAUUUUACAAACAUGGUGUAAUGAACGUCAUAUAUCAUAACAAAACAAAACUUUCAACAACGGAUCUCU
rnacentral:misc_RNA from 1 species